rnacentral:rRNA from 1 species
ACGAACGCUGGCGGCGUGCCUAAUACAUGCAAGUCGAACGCUUCUUUUUCCACCGGAGCUUGCUCCACCGGAAAAAGAGGAGUGGCGAACGGGUGAGUAACACGUGGGUAACCUGCCCAUCAGAAGGGGAUAACACUUGGAAACAGGUGCUAAUACCGUAUAACAAUCGAAACCGCAUGGUUUUGAUUUGAAAGGCGCUUUCGGGUGUCGCUGAUGGAUGGACCCGCGGUGCAUUAGCUAGUUGGUGAGGUAACGGCUCACCAAGGCGACGAUGCAUAGCCGACCUGAGAGGGUGAUCGGCCACAUUGGGACUGAGACACGGCCCAAACUCCUACGGGAGGCAGCAGUAGGGAAUCUUCGGCAAUGGACGAAAGUCUGACCGAGCAACGCCGCGUGAGUGAAGAAGGUUUUCGGAUCGUAAAACUCUGUUGUUAGAGAAGAACAAGGAUGAGAGUAACUGUUCAUCCCUUGACGGUAUCUAACCAGAAAGCCACGGCUAACUACGUGCCAGCAGCCGCGGUAAUACGUAGGUGGCAAGCGUUGUCCGGAUUUAUUGGGCGUAAAGCGAGCGCAGGCGGUUUCUUAAGUCUGAUGUGAAAGCCCCCGGCUCAACCGGGGAGGGUCAUUGGAAACUGGGAGACUUGAGUGCAGAAGAGGAGAGUGGAAUUCCAUGUGUAGCGGUGAAAUGCGUAGAUAUAUGGAGGAACACCAGUGGCGAAGGCGGCUCUCUGGUCUGUAACUGACGCUGAGGCUCGAAAGCGUGGGGAGCAAACAGGAUUAGAUACCCUGGUAGUCCACGCCGUAAACGAUGAGUGCUAAGUGUUGGAGGGUUUCCGCCCUUCAGUGCUGCAGCUAACGCAUUAAGCACUCCGCCUGGUUAUUACGAUCGCAAGGUUGAAACUCAAAGGAAUUGACGGGGGCCCGCACAAGCGGUGGAGCAUGUGGUUUAAUUCGAAGCAACGCGAAGAACCUUACCAGGUCUUGACAUCCUUUGACCACUCUAGAGAUAGAGCUUCCCCUUCGGGGGCAAAGUGACAGGUGGUGCAUGGUUGUCGUCAGCUCGUGUCGUGAGAUGUUGGGUUAAGUCCCGCAACGAGCGCAACCCUUAUUGUUAGUUGCCAUCAUUUAGUUGGGCACUCUAGCAAGACUGCCGGUGACAAACCGGAGGAAGGUGGGGAUGACGUCAAAUCAUCAUGCCCCUUAUGACCUGGGCUACACACGUGCUACAAUGGGAAGUACAACGAGUCGCAAAGUCGCGAGGCUAAGCUAAUCUCUUAAAGCUUCUCUCAGUUCGGAUUGUAGGCUGCAACUCGCCUACAUGAAGCCGGAAUCGCUAGUAAUCGCGGAUCAGCACGCCGCGGUGAAUACGUUCCCGGGCCUUGUACACACCGCCCGUCACACCACGAGAGUUUGUAACACCCGAAGUCGGUGAGGUAACCUUUUGGAGCCAGCCGCCUAAGGUGGGAUAGAUGAUUGGGGUG